rnacentral:rRNA from 1 species
UACGUAGGGGGCAAGCGUUAUCCAGAUUUACUGGGCGUAAAGCGCGUGUAGGCGGCUGGUUAGGCGUGAUGUGAAAUCUUCCGGCUCAACCGGAAAACUGCAUUGCGAACCGGCCUGGCUAGAGUGCAGGAGAGGGAAGCGGAAUUCCAGGUGUAGCGGUGAAAUGCGUAGAUAUCGGGAAGAACACCCGUGGCGAAGGCGGCUCUCUGGGACGGUACUGACGCUGAGACGCGAAAGCGUGGGGAGCGAACAGG